rnacentral:pre_miRNA from 12 species
AGUGCCCUGAGCAAGUUUGAACAUCAAAAAAGAUCGAACCCGUUGCGUAUCGAACUUGGUUCGAGCUCGAGCAGCGGGUCGAUCCGUGCCAUUGCCCAGCC